UGCAAGGCUUUUCUGAAAGCCACAUUAAAUUGAAAGCAUGAAAUAA
rfam:Monodelphis domestica chromosome 5, whole genome shotgun sequence.